UGAUUACUGAUGUUUAGCAUCUUCUCAUAGGCUUGUUGGCUAUUUCUACAUCUUCUUUGGAGAAAUAUCUAUUCAAGUCUUUUGCCCAUUUUUUAAAUUGGGUUGCUUUUCUUUUUCUUGUUGAGUUUUAGUAGUUUUUUAUGCAUUCUGGAUAUUUACCCCUUAUAAGAUAUAUAGUUGGCAAAUAUUUUCUCCUAUUUCAUAAGUUACCUUUUCACUCUGUUGAUUGUUUUAUUUGCUGUGCAGAAGUUUUCAAGUUACAUUAGUCCGAUUUGUCUGUUUUUGCUAUUGUUGCUUGUGCUUUCAGUGUCAAAUCCAAGAAAUCAUUGCCAAAUCCGAUGCCAUGAAGAUUUUUUCCUGUGUUUUCUUUUAGGAGUUUUAUAGUUUUAGAUCUUACAUUUAGGUCUUUAAUCCAUUUUAAGUUUUGUAUAUGGCAUAAGGUAGGGGUUGAAUUUCAUUCUUUUGGAUAUAGAUACACGGUUUUCCCAACAUCAUUCGCUGAAGAGACUGUCUUUUCUCUCUUAUAUAGCCUUGGUGCCUUUGUAGAAGAUCAUUUCAUCAUUGUCCUUUGAGAUUCCAUAUGAAUUUUAGGAUUCUUUUUUUCUAUUUCUACAAAAAAUAUGCCAUUAGGAUUUUGACAGUGAUUGCGUUGAAUUCAUUGAUUGAUCUGGGUAGGGUAGAUAUUUUAACAAUAUUGUUUUGCAAUCCACAAACAUGAUGCAUUUCCAUUUGUUUGUGUCUUUGUUGAUUUCUUUCAGCAACGUUUUAUGGUUUUCAGUGUACAAGAUUUUUGCCUCUUGGCUUCAGCCUAUUCCUAAGUAUUCUUUUUGAUACUAUUGAAAAUCAUAUUUUUUCUUAAAUUGUUUUCAGGUUGUUUACUGUUAAUAUAUAGAAAUGCAACUGAUUUUUGCAUGUUGAUUUUGUAUUCUUCAACUUUGCUGAAUAUGUUUAUUAGUUCCAACAGGUUUUCUUAUAGGAUCAUUAGGGUGUUCUACAUAAGAUAUCAUGCCAUCUGUAAACAUAGAUAAUUGUAUUUAGUCCUUUUGUGUUUGGAUUCUGUUUAUAUCUUUUUCCUGUCUGAUUGCUCUGGCUAGGUAUUCCAGUGCUAUGUUGAAGGGAAGUGACAAGAGUGGGUAUUCUUGCCUUGCUUCUGAUCUUAGAGGAAAAGUUUUCAGUUUUUCACCAUUGGCAUGAUGUUGGCUGUAGGCUUUUCACAUAUGGCCUUUAUUAUGUGGAUGUCAUUCCCUUUUUAUUUUCCUUUUGUGUUGAGUGUUUUUAUGAUGAAAGUUUUUGGAGUUUUGCAAAAUGCCUUUUCUGCAUCAAUUGAGAUGAUCACAUGGUUUUUGCCCAUCAUUCUGUUAAUGUAGUGUAUAACAUUGAUUGAUUUUCAUAUGUUGAACCAUCCUCACGUUCCAGGAAUAAAUUCCACUUAGUCAUGAUGUAUAAUCCUUCUAAUGUGUUAUGGAUUUGGUUUGCUAGUAUUUUGUUGAGGGAUUUUGCAUCAAGAGGCAGUGUUCUCCCACUUCCAUUUUUCUGAAGAGUUUGAGAAGAUUAGUUUGUCAAUUUUGUUGGUCUUUUGAAAGAAUGAGCUCAGUUCUGCUGACUUUUUUCUCUUCUGUAUUUUAUUAAUCUCUGCUCUACCCUUUAUUAUUUCUUUCCUUUAGAUAACUGUAGGUUUAGUUAGAGCUUCUUUUUCUAGUUACUUAAGGUGUAAAUUUAGGUUGGUGAUUUGAGAUCUUUCUUCUCUUGUAAAGCAGGUGUUCCUGCUGAGAGAUCCACUUAUAAUCUUAUGGAAGUUCCCCUGUAUGUGAUGAGUUACUUUUCUCUUGCUGCUUUUAAGACUCUCUUUUUGUCUUUGUCUUUUGACUUUAUAAUGUGUCUUAGUGUGGGCCUUUUUACAUUCAUCAACAUUAUAGUUCCUUGAGCUUUUUGAAUUUGGACAACAAUUUUCUUUCUCAGAUUUGGGAAUUAUUUCUUCAGAUAAGCUCUCUGCCCCAGUCUCUCUCUUCUUCUGAAACUUUUAUAAUGUAUAUAUUGCUCUGCUUGAUGGUGUCUUAUAAGUUCCUUAGGCUUUCAACACUUUUCUUUGUUCUUUUGUUGUUGUUAUUCUCUUGAUAAUUUCAUGUGACCUUUGAAAUUUCAAUGUCUUUGAAGUCAUUGAUUCCUUCUUCUGCUUGAUCAAGUCUACUUUCAUCUGUUCUAGUGAAUUUUUCAAUUCAGUUAUUUUAUUUGUCAGUUCCAGAAUUUGUUUGGUUCUGUUUUACUAGGUUUUUAAAAAAUCUAUUUAAUGAUACUCUCAAUUUGUUCAUGCAUCAUUUUUCUGAUUUUGUUUAGUUUUCUAUCUUCUCUUAAAAGCACAUUGAGCUUCUUUAAGACGAUUAUUUUAAAUUCUUUGUUAGCUACUUUCACAGAUCUUGUUGUUUCUUUAGGAUUGGUUUUGGGAAAUUGGCUUUAUUCUUUUGAAUUGGCCAUGUUUUCUUAUUUCUUUGUAUGCCUUACGUUUUGUUGUGAUUUUUGCAUUUAAAACACAGCCACUUCUCCCAAUCUUUGUGCACUGGUUUUGUACGGGGAAGAUCUUCAUAAAUCAGCCUGCAUAGAGAUUCUAGUGGCCUCACAAGCCUUUUAUGGGAAUGUAUCUUCCCUGAACUUGUGCAUGUAAUUUUAUAGUGAGAGGUUUGCCAGUUUAUUUUUCAGGAACUUGUCAUCUCUUGCUCUCUCUGAUGUCUGUCUGUAGUACUGCAGUUUCUCUGGUGCUGCCACAAUUCACUGAGCUGCAUUUUGUUCUCAGGCAUCCAAAGCAUCCCGGUUCCCUGUUAAUGCUCCAAGUUAGGAGAGAUAGAAACCAAUCUCUCAGGCAGUGCCCUCCUCCCACCCCAAAAGCUGAAACUUGGACAUACAUUCCAAUCUUCUUCUUUCCCCCAAGGGAGAAGCUGUACAUUGGGGCUUUUCAUUCAGAUUAUGAACUGUAACAGCUUAGGAGGAGCUUGCUUCUCCUUCCCAUUUCAAUGGGGCUAUUCUUGACUUUGUGUUUGCCUGGUGUACUUCAACUUUCUAACUGAAUUCUACCAUUGUCAUAAAGGCUUUUUGAGCUGUGUAUUGUUGUUAAGUCAGCGUUUCUGUUGGGGAGCAAGGUCUAGGCACCUUCCUCUGCCAUCUUGCUGGCAUUAUUCCUAGUACUAUUAAAAGUCAUAACACCCAACUUUAAGGAAUACACAAAGAAUUUACAAAUGAGAAAAUGAAGUCACUCAAAGGACUCAUGAAAUGAUGCUAAAAUGUUAAUUUUUUUCAAAAUUGUUGUUUAAAUUUAUUAUAAAAUAUGAAGUAGCCACUCUAUGUAGCAUUCAAAGAAAAUUUACUUAAUAAUAGGGAAGCAAUAAUAGAUCUUUAAACCUAGAGUGGCCCUGGAAAUAUGUCCCUCAGUCAUUAAAUUUUCAAUGUUCAAAUUCAUUUUGUCUUCACUUUUUACCUCCUCCAACAAAUCAGAAACUGUUUCUCCUAGUAUAACCAUUAUCUUGAGUAAAAACAACAUUACCAGUCACCAGAGCAAUACAUUUUCCUGUCUCUCUUCCCUUUUACCCUCAGCCACUUAUGAUCAGCGAUUUGGUUCUGUCAUUUGCUUUUUCUUUUUUGUUUUUGUUUUUCUUUCUUUCUUUCUUUCUUUUUUUUUUUGAGACAGGGUCUUGCUCUGUUGUUACUCAGGCUGGAGUGCAGUGGCAUGGUCUUAGCUCAUUGUAACCUUGAACUCCUGGGCUCCAGUGAUCCUUCUGCCUCAGUCUCCCAAGUAGUCAGGUCUACAGACACGUGGCACCACACUCGGCUAAUUUUAUGUAGAGAUAGGGUCUUGCUAUGUUGCCUGGGCUGAUCUUGAACUCCCGGCCUUAAGUGAUCCUCCCUAUCUCAGCCUCCCAAAGCACUGGGAUUACACACAUGAGCCACUGAACCUGGCCAUGGCCUUGUCACUUUUUACCUUACAAAUAUAUUGGGAGAAAUGUAUUUCCUUUUUCUUUUUAUCCUCCCUGUUUUCCCUUUCAUUAGGCCCUCUCCACUACACCUUUUAGAAAACUCAGCUAUGAAUAAUCACAUGAACACAUUAAAGUAAUUCAGGCCUUCAUUACCUCCUAAGUGAACUGUUGCUCUUCCUGGAAACUGGUCUCCCUGUACAUGACUCCCCAGUGUGGGAUUAUUUUUCUACACUCACACCAUGGCAAUUCAUACCUCUGUGUUCUAUAUAAAAUAGUGCCUCUACUCAAAGACAUUUAAAUGCCUUCCUUUGCAUCUUUUGUUACUCAUCCUUCAACUCCGUCUCAUUUCCUCUUUGGAUGCUACAUAGUUCAGUUAGUUUCUUUUCUUCUGUGCUCCGAUAGCAUAUCUCUGUUUAUAUUUUAUUACAAUCACUUCUCAAACUGUGAUUCACUGAUCAGCAGUAUCCAUAGCCUGGAAGCUUGUGUGAAAUGAGGAAUCCCAGGUCCCACUCCAGACCUAGUGAACUACAAUCUGCAUUUUAAGGAGAUCCUCAGGUGGUUCCUAUACACAUAAAAAUUUGAGAAAGGCUUUUAUUGACCAUAUCAUGUGAGGUUUGGAUGUCUGCCUUUCACACUAAAUGCUGCAUUUCUCUAGACAACAACC
rnacentral:lncRNA from 10 species